AACGCGAAGAACCUUACCUGGUCUUGACAUCCUGGGAACCCUGAAGAGAUUUAGGGGUGCCGCAAGGAGCCCAGAGACAGGUGCUGCAUGGCUGUCGUCAGCUCGUGUCGUGAGAUGUUGGGUUAAGUCCCGCAACGAGCGCAACCCUUGUCCUUAGUUGCCAGCAUUAAGUUGGGCACUCUAAGGAGACCGCCGGUGACAAACCGGAGGAAGGUGGGGAUGACGUCAAGUCCUCAUGGCCUUUAUGUCCAGGGCUACACACGUGCUACAAUGGCCGGUAUAAACCGCUGCAAACCCGCGAGGGGGAGCUAAUCGGAAAAAGCCGGCCUCAGUUCGGAUCGCAGUCUGCAACUCGACUGCGUGAAGCUGGAAUCGCUAGUAAUCGCAGAUCAGAAUGCUGCGGUGAAUACGUUCCCGGGCCUUGUACACACCGACUGUAC
rnacentral:rRNA from 1 species